rnacentral:rRNA from 1 species
UACAGAGGGUGCAAGCGUUAAUCGGAAUUACUGGGCGUAAAGCGUGCGUAGACGGUAGCGUAAGUCGGGUGUGAAAGCCCCGGGCUCAACCUGGGAAUUGCAUUCGAGACUGCGUAGCUAGGGUGCGGAAGAGGGAAGCGGAAUUUCCGGUGUAGCGGUGAAAUGCGUAGAUAUCAGGAGGAACACCAGUGGCGAAGGCGGCUUUCUGGACGAUAACUGACGCUGAGACGCGAAAGCGUGGGGAGCAAACAGG